UACGUAGGUGGCAAGCGUUGUCCGGAAUUAUUGGGCGUAAAGCGCGCGCAGGCGGUUCUUUUAAGUCUGAUGUGAAAGCCCACGGCUCAACCGUGGAGGGUCAUUGGAAAUUGGAGAACUUGAGUACAGAAGAGGAAAGCGGAAUUCCACGUGUAGCGGUGAAAUGCGUAGAGAUGUGGAGGAACACCAGUGGCGAAGGCGGCUUUCUGGUCUGUAACUGACGCUGAGGCUCGAAAGCGUGGGGAGCAAACAGG
rnacentral:rRNA from 1 species